AGGACCAGUAAAUGAGCAAACUUCCUCCUUCAGUUCUGAGAAACUGAAACACAGAAGCCUUAGAUUACCCUCCCAGGCUGUACAAGAAAGAGACUCUGACCACGUCUUAGCUUCAGAGAAGAUUGUCAACCUGUCCAGAGCCCUGCAAGCUGUGCAGUUUCCCCUGUCCUGUUUCAAGAGCCACUGCCUGUGCUGAGGUGGACUCUGCAGUCCUACAGCUCCUGUGAGGUCACUCCAGCUCCUUUUGUUUAUAUGGUGGAUUAUAUUGCUGGAUUUCCACAUACUGACCCACUCCUGCAUGCCUGGGAUGAAGCCUACUUGGUCAUGGUGGAUGAUAUUUUGGAUGUGUUCUUGGAUUCAGUUUAAGAUUAUCAACGAGCCACUUUUUGAAUCAAUAGUUUCUUACCUGGUAGCUCUCAGCUGCUCCUGCCUGGAACAGCUUACGGCUUUUGCUGCUGAGCCUUGAGCUAGGACUCCGGAGCUGCUUCCUAUAGGUUGCAUGGCCUCCUGUUCCUACUGGCUCCCCCAACUCCUGGGAACUUGACCCCAAAAGUGCAUGGAGCAGGACAAGGUGGCAAUUCUGGGAAACUCCGGCUCUCAGUUACCAGGUAGAAACAAAGCAAGGGUCAGCCAGAACAUUCUACCAGGGAAGAGGGAUUACAGCGCAGGGAGAGACUCAUCGACUCCCUGGAUGAGCUGAGGUCGAGAAACAGUUGCAUGGAGUUCAGGGUAAGUAGAAGACAUAAAGCCCUUCAUAACUGUGACUGUUAGAACUUCCGGGGUCUCCAUAACUGUUGUGCGUUUGUUUAACUUGUGUGUGUUUCUUUUGUGAAAAUACUUAUGAAGGGAAAGUUCUAGGGCUGCGGCUGUAGCACUGUGUCAGAGUGCUUGACUCCAUGUUCUUGGACUUGAGUUCCAUUAGCUGCACACCACCCCACAGAGGACAGACAACAAAGUGCUGUAGACCUGCCUGUCAGGCAGAAGUAAAGAGCAGGGAGAGGCAGUGGCAGGACAGGUGAGAGCAAGAAAAGGGCACCUCCAAAGCCUGUGAGUGGGGCUGACAUCGUGAGGCCAGCAUGAGGGGGAAGUUGUGGGUUCAACAAUGAUGACUGACCAUGGUGGUCUCAACUGGCAAACGCACCAAAGCGUGAAGUUGUCUUGACUAUGUGGGGUCUCACAAAGGACCCUAACAUGGAGCCCGUGUCACCCUUUGUAUAAAUCGUGACAAUCUAAAAUGCUUUCAAAGGAUCGUGAAAGUUCACCUCAUUGACUUCAUCAUGGUAAAAUCAUUUCUCUUCCUGGCUCAGGUAUUUUCUAUACUAACUAGACUUUUAUCCUAUAUAGAAAAAAAGGACAAACAGCAUGGGGGGGUUUACUGAAUUUAGGGUUUCUAUCUGUACCCCCAAAAGCAAGUUUUGUCACCCAUCCUCAAGAAGCCAAUGGAAAAGGCCAAAUUAAUAGUACAAAGAACUAAGAGAACAAUGAAAGUGCCCUCACAUUGGAAAGACCCUUUUCACAGCCACCGUCUGGGGCCUGAAUUGAGAUCAAGCUUAAGGUCAAGGUGUGGUCUCACCCGAGAGUGACUCAUCACUGCCUGGACUUCAGUCUAGGCCUGCAAACUGGUCUGACAAAUUGUUAGAACUGUUUAAAAGCUCACUCCAAAGACACGUUACCCCUAUCACUGGUGCUUUCCCCUUCUCCCAGCACAGAUUCCUGGGAGAAGUUCUCAUUUAUUUGGGGUCCAUUUUUUUUCAAUAGUUUGAUAGUGAGAUUGAGAUACACAGAUGUUUUCAUUUCUGCCAGAUAGUUUGUAAGAGGAAGCAAAAAGGGGAGGAUGGAUCGGGGGAGGGAGGCUGAGGAAUGUAACCCAGUUGGGAGAAUGCCCGUCUACCACACAAAAGGCGCCGUGUUUCAUCCCAUACCUCCUAAAUUGAUGCGCAGUGUUGGGACACAGCUUCCUGAGUCCAGCCAUCUCGGGAACAAGUUCCACCUUGCUGGCAGGGCCAAAACUGAGUACAUAUUCUCAGGCCCUGAAACUCAACUCCUCUCCUGCUUCUUCAGGUAUUUCAUAUUUGUCUGUUAGCCAGUAAAGAUGGAAAUUGCCCUAUCUGUUAUCUAAACUAAGGUACGCAGGUUGUAAAUGUGCUACCUGUCUUGACUUAAAGCUUGCCCACUCCUUUGUUCCCUUAUCAUCCUAAACCUCUGGAUCAAUAUUCAAAAGAGGACUUGACUGCAAAGAGCUGAGUCGAGGGUCCUGAAACCAGGUGACCUGGAAAGACCCCUUACCCACGUUUACUUUCUUGCUCAAUCUCUCGUAUCAGAAUAUAAUUGGUCAAUACCAUAGUCCAUCCUGCUCCCCCUUGCUUUGUGUUCCCAUUAAAAAAUGUUGUACAAUCUCCCUUAGAGGACAUGUUCAGAUUCCAAACUGGCUUCUUCCCUGCUUCGCAGAAAAUAAAGCUUUCAUUUUUAAGCUUCCACCUCCGACGUGAGCUUUCUUGGCUUCUACCUUGAGCGAGCCCAAUAGCAGCACCUGUGAUCUGAGAAGGUGGAGGGCAGAGGACCAGAAACUCAAGAUCAUUCUCUGCUCUGUAGUGAUUUCAAAACCAUCUGGAUUUCAUAGGACUGAGAAAAAGACAAAAAGAAGAGGUAGA